GGGUAUGGUAAAAACCGUGAGGGAUUGGACGAUCCGCAGCCAAGCUCCUAAGGGUACACGGUGCCUAUGGAGAAGGUUCAGAGACUAAGUGGCAGUGGGUUGAUUGGUUGUAACCAAUCGGCUUAAGAUAGAGUCCGGCCCUGCCGAAAGGUAGCCUUAGGAUGAACGACCACACCAGUCUGGAGCCUAAGGAGCUAAUGCACGUCAUUAGUGGGAACAACCGAGGUGAACCUGCGGAAGGAUCA
rnacentral:rRNA from 1 species